AGUGAACGCUGGCGGCGUGCUUAACACAUGCAAGUCGAACGAGAAACGGAUUUAGCUUGCUAAAUUGCAGUCUAAGUGGCGCACGGGUGAGUAAUGUAUAGGUAACAUGCCUUCUACUAGGGGAUAACAGUUGGAAACGACUGCUAAUACCCUAUAUUCCUUAUUAGCACAAGUGUGUAAGGGAAAGAUUCAUUGGUAGAAGAUUGGCCUAUAUUGUAUCAGCUAGUUGGUAGCGUAAUGGACUACCAAGGCUAUGACGCAUAACUGGUUUGAGAGGAUGAUCAGUCACACUGGAACUGAGACACGGUCCAGACUCCUACGGGAGGCAGCAGUGGGGAAUAUUGCACAAUGGGCGAAAGCCUGAUGCAGCAACGCCGCGUGGAGGAUGACACAUUUCGGUGCGUAAACUCCUUUUAUAUGGGAAGAUAAUGACGGUACCUUAUGAAUAAGCACCGGCUAACUCCGU
rnacentral:rRNA from 1 species